UACCGGUUCUCGUUAGAUCACCGAAGUCAAGCAUCAUUGGGCGCGGUCAGUACUUUGGUGGGUGACCACCUGGGAACACUGCGUGCCGU